rnacentral:rRNA from 1 species
AGAGUUUGAUCCUGGCUCAGCCUGAACGCUGGCGGCGUGGCUAAGACAUGCAAGUCGUACGGUGUAGCAAUACACAGUGGCGAACGGGUGAGUAAUGAAUCGCUAACGUGCCCCGGACUCUGGGAUAGCUACCCGAAAGGNNNNNUAAUACCAGAUGAGACCACGAUCAGGCAUCUGAUUGUGCUCAAAGGUCCGCCGGUCUGGGAGCGGGCGAUUUCGUAUCAGCUAGUUGGUGAGGUAACGGCUCACCAAGGCGACGACGCGUAGCCGGACUGAGAGGUUGGCCGGCCACAUUGGGACUGAGACACUGCCCAGACUCCUACGGGGGGCUGCAGUAACGAAUCUUCCGCAAUGCACGAAAGUUGACGGAGCGACCCGCGUGUAGGACGAAGCCCUUCGGGGUGUAAACUACUGUCAGGGGUUAGAAAGUUCUGAUCAACCCCAGAGGAAGGCACGGCUAACUCUGUGCCAGCAGCCGCGGUAAGACAGAGGUGCCAAGCGUUAGGCGGAAUCACUGGGCUUAAAGCGUGUGUAGGCGGAUCGUUAAGUACCUUGUGAAAUCCCAUGGCUUAACCAUGGAACUGCUUGGUAUACUGGCGGUCUUGAGCCACUUAGGGGCUACCGGAACAAAUGGUGGAGCGGUGAAAUGCGUAGAUAUCAUUUGGAACGCCAAUGGUGAAAACAGGUAGCUGGGAGUGGCUGACGCUGAGACACGAAAGCCAGGGGAGCGAACGGGAUUAGAUACCCUAGUAGUCC